UACGUAGGGUCCGAGCGUUGUCCGGAGUUACUGGGCGUAAAGCGCGCGCAGGCGGUCCUUUAAGUCUGAUGUGAAAGCCCACGGCUCAACCGUGGAGGGUCAUUGGAAACUGGGGGAUUUGAGUACAGAAGAGGAAAGCGGAAUUCCACGUGUAGCGGUGAAAUGCGUAGAGAUGUGGAGGAACACCAGUGGCGAAGGCGGCUUUCUGGUCUGUAACUGACGCUGAGGCGCGAAAGCGUGGGGAGCAAACAGG
rnacentral:rRNA from 1 species